UACGUAGGGUGCGAGCGUUGUCCGGAAUUAUUGGGCGUAAAGAGCUUGUAGGUGGUUGUCGCGUCUGCUGUGAAAAUCCGAGGCUCAACCUCGGACUUGCAGUGGGUACGGGCAGACUAGAGUGUGGUAGGGGAGACUGGAAUUCCUGGGUGUAGCGGUGGAAUGCGCAGAGUAUCAGGAGGAACACCGGUGGCGAAGGCGGGUCUCCUGGGCGAGUGAACUGACGCUGGAGGAGCGAAAGCGUGGGUAGCAAACAGG
rnacentral:rRNA from 1 species